GGGAAUCUGCCCCUGGGUUCGGAAUAACAGUUAGAAAUGACUGCUAAUACCGGAUGAUGACGUAAGUCCAAAGAUUUAUCGCCCAGGGAUGAGCCCGCGUAGGAUUAGCUAGUUGGUGGGGUAAAAGCUCACCAAGGCGACGAUCCUUAGCUGGUCUGAGAGGAUGAUCAGCCACACUGGGACUGAGACACGGCCCAGACUCCUACGGGAGGCAGCAGUGGGGAAUAUUGGACAAUGGGCGAAAGCCUGAUCCAGCAAUGCCGCGUGAGUGAUGAAGGCCUUAGGGUUGUAAAGCUCUUUUACCCGGGAUGAUAAUGACAGUACCGGGAGAAUAAGCUCCGGCUAACUCCGUGCCAGCAGCCGCGGUAAUACGGAGGGAGCUAGCGUUAUUCGGAAUUACUGGGCGUAAAGCGCACGUAGGCGGCUUUGUAAGUUAGAGGUGAAAGCCUGGAGCUCAACUCCAGAACUGCCUUUAAGACUGCAUCGCUUGAAUCCAGGAGAGGUGAGUGGAAUUCCGAGU
rnacentral:rRNA from 1 species